GGGAUUUUGUGAUUUUAUGAUGUUUUUCCUUUUUGAUACAUCUUCCUUUUUAAUGUUUCAUUUAUUCAGUUCUCCUUAUAUUGCUCCAUUUACUCAUUUACUCAUAUGCUCCUGUUAAGAAAGGCUUGAAAAGCACACAGUGUUCACAUAUCUUUAUGUUUUGUCUUUGCUUCUGCUCACACACAUACACAUGAGCCCCGCAGUAUUCGCUGACUCCUGUGAAAGUCUCUUGCAGACACCCUUGGAAACAGGACCCAACUGGCUUCUGUUUUCCUCGAGAUAGACAAUACACUCACACACACACACACACACACUGUGUCCUAUACAUGCCCAGAUUGUCUGUUACAGCCUGAUAAAACAGGGAAUGCUACGAUGUAUAAAUAAAGCUGACUACAAAGCCUCGGGGUGAGUAUCACUCGAUCACUCACCCGUGCGCACGUAGUUCUCUGAACAAAACUCUGACUGUUUCUGUAUUCUUUCAAUGUUUAAAAAUGUCUUGCCACUGACAUUUAAUUGGUCCUUCGAGCCGGAUAGUUUAUUGAUAUUAUUGUAUCAUCUAACUAUUCACAGACGGAGCCACCAGAUCCUGACGUCGUGACUACCUGCACUGCAACCACCGUUUCUAGCGAAGCGAGGAAAAGCCCAGAGUCGUACAUUCGCCUACUGGCCAGUGUCUUAUACAGGUCCACGACGCCAGGUUCUCGGUGACGCCGGGAAAAAGAACACAGCGCAACAUUGAAGGCUGCUUUGCUGGCCCUGAAAGCCGAGGCUGACCUGGACUCCUGCUCUCCCCUGUACCACCUUCGACGUGACCCUGACCAAAUGCUGCAGCAGCUGGACUUACAAAAACAAUUUCCUGAAAAUGUCAACAGGGCUGCAGGAAAGCGAUCUUAUGCAGCGGAGACGGAGAGCGUUAAAACCAAGGCCCGUUUCGCUACACGGGGGAAAAUUCCCAGACAGCUUCAGCUGACAGAGCUGUGACGAGACGCCUGCCAAGCCGACAACUUAUGACAAGUAAGGCCGAGCAAAAGAAUGCUGACCUUAACGAUUCUGCAUUAACACUGUGCAGGACAGGGAUGGACCAACACGGCAGCAAAAAGGGCGUGCCAGAGACAGGAGGAGCAACUGAGGUCGAAUGGACAAAACACAGAAGAAGUUGCAGUUUUCACCUGCGGUGAGCAUGGACACUGGAGAAAAGGACUGUCCCAAUUGGGGCCAGAACCAGGACAAACUGAACUUUGAACAGCAGCAAUGGUGGCAAGCGGACUGAAAAGGAGGAGGGCAGGACCCCAGGGCACGCUUCAGGCUGUGGUUUACCCAGAACACCAGAACAGGAAAGUGAUGAACACACACACAUCUACAUACACCGAUUCAGAAUGAAGUGAAACACACACAUGAACACAUGUGCACUCGUUGAUAGAGGGAGAAAUGGCACACACACACGCUUAUGCAAUGAAGAAUGCUUUGCUCGCAAAUGCUUAUGCUGAUAUGCAAAAUGCUGCACACAAACGUCCCAGUACAUAAUUUUUAUGAGAAGCAAUUGAUUACUUAAAAUGUGUUUUAUGUCACCCAGAGGAUAUUUAUGUAGAUUUAAGGAACAAGGUCUAAAAUUGUCUGGGUAUGAAAACAAUGUCUGUGCGUGAGGUCUGUUUAUGGCUCAAGGUCUUGAUUGAAUUGUCUAUUGUGCUACACACUUCGUAAAUGAAGUAAUAUCAAAAGUCUCUGAAGCACUGGGCUUCAGUAUAAAACAUCACUUCUCAUAUCCCCCGCAGAGUACCUAUUA